AUGAUACCUGAAAUGAGCAAGGCUACCCGCUGAACUUAAGCAUAUCAGUAAGCGGAGGAAAAGAAAAUAACAAUGAUUACCUCAGUAGCGGCGAGUGAAGAGGUAAAAGCCCAAGAUGUAAAUCCGAGCAAAACUUGGAAUUGUAAUCUAUGGAAUAGUUCAGAAGCGGAAGCUCGGCAAAAGUUCUUUGGAACAAGACACCAGAGAGGGUGAAAGUCCCGUCAAUGGUUGAGCGGAAGCGUAUGAAAUAUUUCCAAGAGUCGGGUAGUUUGGGAAUGCUGCCCUAAGUGGGAGAUAAACUUCUCCUAAGGCUAAAUAUAAGAUAGGAGACCGAUAGC
rnacentral:rRNA from 1 species